AGAAGAAGAAGCGGAUCUCAGAGGUAUUCUUGGUAUAGUAGAAAUUCCAUAUUAAUGUCAAUUAUUGGUGGCCUGAGAAGCUGAAUAAUCUUGAAGACAUCUGUACACUGAUUUUUAACUAUUGAAACACCACGGGAGUACCUCGGUGCCUAAAGAAAAUAAUUUAAAGACAUAUUGUUUCAAAUAACACCCUGAGGUUCUUUUUGUGUAGUAGACGCGGACUGUUUCUAUGGAAACAGGUUUUCUCUAUUUCGUUCUGCUGCCGCCAUCUAGAGGACAAGCGAAGUACAGCAGGGAGUGACACAUCAUGCCCCCUCAUCCUCCGGGGCAGCCAGUCCGGUUUUGUGGCCAGAAGAUGAUUGAUCGAGUCCAACUGAGCACACGUGGGUGCAGAGUGAGCCUGGGGCCUCUCAGUCUCUCUCGCACCUGUGGCUCCCCCUCUCACACGUGUGAAACACUAAAGAAGUAGUUGGUGAACUUGCUGAGGGAUUCUGAGCUCCUGCGGAGGCUGGGGGCACUGUCUCCUCUGAACCACCAGGGGUUCUCACUAGAAGCUGGGCAGAUGGCUGUGACAUCCUCUUGACCUUUUUCCUGUCUCCAAAUUUGUGAGCUAAAAGACUUCUUUUCUGCAUCAAGUGUACCACCUCAGACAUUCUGUUGUAGAAACAGUAAGUCUUUCCAUCUCAUCUGUUUUUAGGUCUAGAUUGGAAUACGAGAAGACCAAGUAGCAAUAAAAUUAUGCAUAUUUGAA